CGUCUACUCUUUUCAAUAAAGCGGUCAGUUAUUGACUGAUACAGCGAGCUAAGGAUAAACUAUCGAUGAACAAAUGUUUAAAAAUUAUCGAUGGAAAAAGUCUUGAGAAUGUUUUUUGGGAAUUUCGCUGCGGAAAUUUUGCCAUCAGAAAAAUGAUGUCAUUAGUCAUUAGUAACCGAUAAGCGAACUAUGGAUUUCAUAAUUGGCACAACCGCUCUGGUUCGUUUCCUUAGAGGAACUAACUAAAAAGACUAAAGGGCCGCAACACCCUGGGCCUGAUGACUCACAUUAACAAUGGUCCCACUCACACACCUCUAUUAAGAUCCAAAAAAACAGGGCACACACAUCAUCACACAUCAUUUUCAGCCAUAAAAAUGUUUUUCAAUCUCAAGUGGAGAAAAAAGAAAUACAAAUCGUACAAAGACCUAUUCAGUUCAAUUAUAAAUUAAUGUUUGAUAAAUAGUUUGAAAUGUAAACUCUAAUAUGACAUAUAAAUAAAAUCGUCAAUUGAUUUCCUUGCGUUGUGAGAGCGCCUCAAAAUUCAAUUUCUAUUGCAACAAAAUUAUGAAAAU